ensembl:snoRNA
UGUAUGAACAGAUGCAGAAAACAUAUCCUCAUUUGCAACCUGGAACUAAUUGUUUAGUAUGAUUUUUGAUACAUAUAAGAAGGAGUACU